UCGAAUCAUAAUUUGAAAUGAGUACACAAUAGCUAACAAAUAUUCUCGAAGCAUUUCACAGAACAAUGCAAUAUUUUUGGUAAACGGCACCGAUCUAGUUUGUGUUUUCUAAUGUCUACUACUAUCUAAGUUUUAGCUGUCGAUUUUGCAAUUAUGUACAUCUGAUGAUUCUGCAAGAACGGUUACACCCAUUCAUAAACCAAAUUAUGGGUGACUAACGAUCAUGAUUUAUAACUGGAAGGGGCACCAUCGAACAGAUAUUUAUAAUUUCUAGGCGGAUGAGAGCUUAUAUGAGUUUGGCCGACAUAAAAAAUAAAUCUUAUUAAAGCCACACUGACGAAAGAGAGUUUUGGUACGAAUUUGAGACUCCAUAUUAACUGAAUUUAUUUUAAAAACCCGCCUACCACAAGGGGAUGAGUUUUCGUACCCACUAUUCAAGCUUGCCCUUGAAAAGGUGAUAAGGGACUACACCUAACACUAAAGGCAAAUAUUUUUCAAAUCAACUGAAAUGGCUAACGGUGACAACUAUAAACGAUUUAAAAACUGCGUUUAUUUAAAUAAAAAAACUGCAAAUCUGGAGCUUACAAAAUAUGAAGAAAACCCAAAGUAUUAAUCCACUCCAUCACUUUUACAACGAUAUGAAUAAUAAUUCGAAAUAUUAAGUUUUUACUUUUUCGAAGAUCCAACUAUGAAUUCUUAAAGCGUCUCUCAUAAGGUAGACUAUGUUUACAUUUUUUCGAUUUUUUAGUCAUUUAAAUACUAUAAUUAACAUUGGUGUUUAAAAUAAACUCAUUUUCGAACUUUGAAGGCACUUCGAAGAACGGAGAAGCUUCUUUUGUACUAGACUCAGUUUCUAAAGAAACACUGUUACCGGAAAGAUAUAUUAUUUGAAUUUCAUUAAGAUUACUACUUAUUGACCGAUAUAAGCGGUUUAAAGUCAGUCGGAAGUUAGAAAAUCUUUGUGUUAGUAAAUGUAAGUAGAUGUUUUAGCCUUCCAUUCACUUCUACUGGUAUACUUCACCGAUUUCUAAGAAUUUCGCCACAUCAUUGCUUCUGAGAGCAUGUGAAUUACGUUUGCAACGACCACGAGAUAUUCUUUGGGUAAAAAUUACAUUUUGUUGACUCCUGAGGUGCUGAGAACUCUAAUCAUGACUGAAAAUUUUAAUUUUUAUUGAUAAUAAGCCGAUAAUUGAUUAAAAUAUGAGAUAUUUAACAAUCAACAACAUAUUCAACACUUUGAUGAAUAAAUCCGUAACUUAGACAUUUGAAAACUACAACAUCUGCUAAAAUAUUCAGGACAACAAGAAAAAUAUUUUUUUUUUUGUAUAGCUGUGUAAUUUAUGAUAACAACAGAACCAAGACUACCACUAUUGAACUGACUCUUGGUUCACGGAGAUAUUCGAUAAUUAAGGAAAAAUUAAUGCAAUUUGAUGGUGUAUGGUAUAUUGUAUCAAA